rnacentral:rRNA from 1 species
CCUACGGGUGGCAGCAGUCGAGAAUCAUUCACAAUGGAGGAAACUCUGAUGGUGCGACGCCGCGUGGGGGAAUGAAGGUCUUCGGAUUGUAAACCCCUGUCAUGUGGGAGCAAAUUAAAAAGAUAGUACCACAAGAGGAAGAGACGGCGAACACUGUGCCAGCAGCCGCGGUAAUACAGAGGUCUCAAGCGGUGUUCGGAUUCAGUUGGCUUAAAGCGUUCGUGGGCUGUUUCGUAAGUCGUGUGUGAAAGGGGCGGGCUCAAACGUUAGAUGGCACAUGAUACUGGCAGACUUGAGUACAGGAGGGGUAACCGGAAUUCUUGGUGUAGCAGUGAAAUGCGUAGAUAUCGAGAAGAACACUGGUGGCGAAGGCAGGUUCCUGGACAUUAACUGACGCUGAGGCUCGAAGGCCAGGGUAGUGAAAGGGAUUAGAUACCCUAGUAGUC